rnacentral:lncRNA from 1 species
CUUUAACCAGUUGGCAGCCUUCCUAACCCCCUGAGCUAUUGCAAGGAAGUAGAAACAGAAUAUAUCGCUCCCUCUGGUCAGCCUCGUAGGAGAUCAGUCAUGGAAUCCCGUCUGCUCGGCUCGGCUCACCGGUUUCCCUCUUCUCCUCCCCCUGCAGGCUUCACCUGCCCUGGGGAACAGGCUGUGUACCAGCAACGCCGUCUUCACAAUGAGUCACGAUUUCUGCACCGAGAGAAAGUGGAGGUAGACGACACUGUCCAGUAUCUUCCUUGACUUGACACCUGCUUAAGGCAGAAGACAGGAAGCAAGGCUGCCGGUGUUCUUAACAUGCUGAUUCACAGAGUGAGUGCAAAUCAGACUGAGUCUCUGCCAAGUCCCAGGAGGAAUUAUUAGACAAGAGUGGAGAGCAUGAGACACCCGCGCUCCCUGGUUAACAGUAGCGGACAUUUGCUAUUCACAGCAAUCGUCACCCUCACCUGCUAGUGGAACCACACACCCACUUGUAUAUUGUAAGAUUUGUGGAUCAGAACACGGUUAUGGUGUGGAUUAUACUGCCCCUGUACGGACUGUGUAACCUUGUGAGAAUUGGCUGUCACGACCCGGGAGAGUACAGAACACAUCUCAGCCGCCCUCGAAAUGCGUAAGCGAAGGCACAGCCCAAAAGGCUGUGGGCAAAUCAUCAGGUGAAAAGAAAACAUAACUCUCUUUCAUCAGGAAGACUGGUCAGGCUCUCCUUUUCAAAGUGUGAUAUGUAAAACUAAAGGGAUGUUACUGGAAGAGAGAGGAAGAUAGAGGUAUUCAAUAUAAGGAUUGCACAGUCCCCAUCCUGUAACACCUCCCUAGUCUUCCUGUCGCAGAAGAGAUGUGUUUUUGGUCUCUGCCCCGCAGUAGAGAUGCUCCC